rnacentral:rRNA from 1 species
ACUCCUACGGGAGGCAGCAGUGGGGAAUAUUGCACAAUGGGGGAAACCCUGAUGCAGCCAUGCCGCGUGUGUGAAGAAGGCCUUCGGGUUGUAAAGCACUUUCAGUAGGGAGGAAGGUAGUGUAGUUAACACCUGCAUUAUUUGUACGUUACCUACAGAAGAAGCACCGGCUAACUCCGUGCCAGCAGCCGCGGUAAUACGGAGGGUGCGAGCGUUAAUCGGAAUUACUGGGCGUAAAGCGCAUGCAGGCGGCCUGUUAAGUCAGAUGUGAAAGCCCGGGGUCUUAACCUCGGAAUUGCAUUUGAAACUGGCAGGCUAGAGUCUUGUAGAGGGGUUAGAAUUUCGAGGUGUAGCGGUGAAAUGCGUAGAGAUCUGAAGGAAUACCAGUGGCGAAC